rnacentral:rRNA from 1 species
UACAGAGGUCUCAAGCGUUGUUCGGAUUCAUUGGGCGUAAAGGGUGCGUAGGCGGCGCGGUAAGUCGGGUGUGAAAUCUCGGAGCUUAACUCCGAAACUGCAUUCGAUACUACCGUGCUUGAGGACUGGAGAGGAGACUGGAAUUUACGGUGUAGCGGUGAAAUGCGUAGAUAUCGUAAGGAAGACCAGUGGCGAAGGCGGGUCUCUGGACAGUUCCUGACGCUGAGGCACGAAGGUCAGGGGAGCAAACAGG